rfam:Hordeum vulgare subsp. vulgare, WGS project CAJW01000000 data, contig: morex_contig_44860
CUUAUACUCCUUCCGUCCAGAACUACUUAUCGCACAAAUGUAUAAAAAUGGAUGUAUCUAGAAUUAAAAUACAUCCAGAUACAUCCAUUCUUAUGACAAGUAUUUUCAGACGGAAGGAGUACUUC